UACGAAGGGUGCAAACGUUGCUCGGAAUCAUUGGGCGUAAAGCGCACGUAGGCGGCUUGCCAAGUCGGACGUGAAAUCCCUCAGCUCAACUGAGGACGUGCAUCCGAAACUGGCGAGCUUGAGUACUGAAGAGGAUCGCGGAAUUCCCGGUGUAGAGGUGAAAUUCGUAGAUAUCGGGAGGAACACCAGUGGCGAAGGCGGCGAUCUGGGCAGUAACUGACGCUGAGGAGCGAAAGCGUGGGGAGCGAACAGG
rnacentral:rRNA from 1 species